rnacentral:lncRNA from 1 species
GAAUCUCCACCCAAUUUGUCUCUCUCUAGAAUCAUCCCCCAAUAGCCUCUCUCUAGAAUCACCAACCCAAAAACUCCCAAAACAUAAAGGAAGAAUUGGUCUUCUUCAGAUCUUUUGCAUCAUAUAUUCCAUCACUAUCUCACAAAUCUACCAUUACGUUCGAGUAAUGUAUCGACUAAAUCAAAAGGUUCAGGCACCAAUCACAACGGGCUUGCACACCAAUUCCAAAUGUAUUGACGUGAACACCCAUGUGAAGGACAAUGGAAAAAGGCCAUUGAAGAUGUAGCUCCAGACCCAAGCACAAAAAAGAAAAAGAUCGCGACACCACACAGGUUAGGCACAUUUCAAUUUAACAAAAUCAGGAAUUGUACGGUAUGUUCAUUUUUUGUUGAAAAUGAAAUUAUAUCAAUUUUAUAUUUGAGAUAACUAACCCCAUUGUGUAUAUUUUUCACUUGCAAAACAUACAAAAAUUUAACAUGUCUUUGGAAUUACAAAAACUAGAAAAGACGAUUUCCAUUAACAAACUGCAGAAGUUGGGGGAAUUGUAGAAAAUUGUAUGUUGUUUUAAUUACCGAAUGUAAUUAGACACGAUUAAGGAUUAAGAGUUUAUUUUUUAUUUUUAUUUUUAUUUAUUUAUUUAUUUAUUUAUUUAUUUUAGUUAAGUCUACUCAAGCGUAUUACAUAUGUAAAAAGUGUUUUAGAUGGGUUGGAUCAUAUAUAGUUAUAUGGUGACUAAUGAAGUCAAUAGAAUAUAUGAAAAUACAUUAAAGACGUAUGAUAAAGUGUACUGGAUAAUAUAUGACAUUACACAAAUUAACUAUUCUAUCAAGUUCACUUUACAUGUCAUAGAACAUGAAUUGAUUUGAUUUAAUUACCUAAUGAUAGUGUUUUGAACUUUGAGAAUGAGCUAGAAUAUUGUGAUAGUUUUGUUGUUAGCUUACCGUCAUCGUUAUAUGCUCUUAUGAUUUACUAUGAGAUAUUUUUUAUCCAACUUAUUAUUUCAAUUUCAAAGCCAUCAGCAGUUGAAUAUUAUUUUUUAAAUAGUUUUGAUCCACUUAAUGAUCCACUCUCACACUCACCGCUUGACAAUCUGCAUUUGCAUGUAUGGUUUUAUAUAAGCUAAUAUAUUCUGGACAAGAUACUUUACAAUUUCAAUAAGGUAUGACUAAAUACUCUCAUAUAAGACAUCUCAGAUACGUUUACUUGUUUAUACCGUUCUUUAAUUUGAAUUUUCUCUAUCAUAUUUUUUUCCUUGACUUCUUAUUUUUAUUAUUAUUAUUUUUAUUUUUUCUAGGUAGAAGUUCUAUUGCCCCAUUCUAGCGAUGAGGAGUUGCAUGCACCAUAUUUCAUUCGGCUACCUAUUAGGGAACUCAUGUUUAAACCAAUUGCUACUUGUCAUCGUGAUUCAGCCGUUGUUGUCAAGUAAACCGAAAUAUUUGAUUCUCACUAAUAUAUUCCACGUUGAGUUCCAUGACUAUACUGUUCACUUCCUCAACCUCAUCGUCAUACAUCUCAACUGUUGAUAUGUCAAUUCUUGAAAUCAAAUCACUAAUUUUGGGAAUUUAGGAUGACAAUCUCAAGUAGGGGAAGGUGUGGAUGAAUGUAAUGAUUUGAAUGCACAAUAUAAUCACUUGUCGUAUACAACCUGGAUUCUGUGAGUGUAGAAGGCGCCGUCUCCACCACACUAACACGUAAUGCAUAGAUGGUCAUGAAUGAAAGCUGUCAUUUGUUAUUCGAAUUGGUGACAUCCCUACAUCAGCAAUGUAUUCAAUCUUGACAUCUAAAACUCUCUUGUCAACCUUUAUUUCAUCAACUAUCAUUUCAGCCAGUUGAAUGUACUUGCAACUUACAACCAAAUGGAACAAGAAGCCCAAACAUUUCUGCCCCAUACAUUACAAAGAUGUUUGUAUAAUCCAUUCUUGUAUUACAGAAUCACUGAUUAGUUUAUUAUGUAUAUAAAUAUUUAGUAAUACAAGACAAAAAGUAGCAUAUGUGUCAUCUUAUAGUUAUUCAUAUAUUUUUGGCCAAAC